AGAGAGAGGAAUAACCAUGCGGCUGGCAGACCUCAUCAAGCGGUCUAAAGCGCAGCAGUUCCACGGCCUGAUGGGAAGGAGCUCGGGUGCAUCUCAGCCUGUGAGACUGGGCAAGAAAAG